CCCAAGCUAUUGCUAUCAAACUUGAAAUACAAUCUUAUUAUUAUGUUUUAUGUCUUUACAAAUGUUCAAUAGAUUGUGGAAAACAUACCUGAACUCAGAGUCGUCUAUAAUGUACCACUUCUUUAAAACAUAAGCGAUCAAUAUGUUUCAAUUAUGGUCCUCUUCCAGUUAGAAUAUGACUAUAGUACCUUGACCUUAUUGAAUAUGAACAAUUUCCCCAUGGUGGCUUACUUUAUACUGUCAAGCACUUGAAUAGUCGAGCGCGCUGUCUUCUGACAACUCUUGUAGUUUUUCUCAUCGACAUUUCCAUUUUAACAUUUAGUAGCCAAAAGGGGACAAGUCCCCUUGAUCUCGCAAGAACGUACUGCCAGAAUUACGUUGAUCCACCAGGUUUUGAAGUAAAAACCGUCAAUGAUGUCAUAGGCGAAGGAGUCCUUGCCACUAAGCCUUUUUAAAAAGGAGACUUUCUUCUCGAAUACAAAGGAGAUAUGAUAACACGAGUAAAACAUGCACGGCAAUUAGAAAAAGAGUAUGAAAAGGAGGGUCAAGGCAGCUUCAUGUACUUUUUAAAUACAGAGACAAAUCUUGCUGCAUUGACGAUACCAACGAUAUAUUUCAUGAGGGUCGAAUGAUAAAUGAUGCCGAAAAUGGAGACGCAAAACAAAAUUGUGUAAUGAAAAUAGUUGAAGUCAACCAAACUCCCCAUCUAUGCACUAUCGCCGACAGAGACAUUGCAAUUGGCGAGGAACUCCGAUAUGAUUAUGGAGUACCAACACUUCCAUGGAGAAAGGCAACACAAUGGCUACUAGAUCUACGGACAGCCAGGAACCAGGAAAAACAACAUCCGUACACACGGAAGAAGUCGAUGAGACG